rnacentral:rRNA from 1 species
AUGUGUCCCAUCUGUGUUGGACCCAUAAAAAGCGGGAUUUGCGCUUGUGGCAAUUCUCGAGCGAGCGGAGCUGAAAACGAAGACGAAAGAUUUUGCCAAAAAUGCGGGGUAGAAUUUGUGGAUUCUCGGAUACGAAGAUAUCAAAUGGGAUACAUCAAACUCGCAUGUCCCGUGACUCAUGUGUGGUAUUUGAAAGGUCUUCCUAGUUAUAUCGCGAAUCUUUUAGAUAAACCUCUUAAGAAGUUGGAGGGCCUAGUAUACGGCGAUUUCUCUUUUGCUAGGCCCAGCACUAAAAAACCCACUUUUUUACGAUUACGAGGUUUAUUCGAAGAGGAAAUUGCAGCACGAUCGAGGAUGUAA